CAAGGUGGGGUUUGUCUACAACUUCCCUUUGUAUUGGGAUCGAAUGCUCCGUGAGGGGUGGGUUGGGAGCAAGAGGACCAUAUCGCCGCCGACCAACGAGGGGAAAGCGAGGCCGACGUUAGAGUAGAGCUAGAGGCUGAGACUAGCUGAGGUUGGAGUGGAAGGGGUGUAUUUAGGUAGGUGUGUGGGUUCCGCCUCUCCUCCCGGUUGGCUAGACCCUAGCUAGGUGUGUGGCCUCUCCUUCUCGAACUACCGUGAGCUAGACGUUAGGUACCUGUCGCCGGACCGACGAGAACGACGAAGAAUGGAGCCGCCCCUCCUUCGGCAGUUCUUCGGACUGUCGUCAGGUAGGCGUCCUCUCCCUUUCCAUAACUAAAAGGCGUCCGCGGGUUAGUGUGUCCUAAGGGGCAGGAACUUAGGGGACGAAUACCGAUGGGGCUGCCGCCACCGCUGGUCGGUUCGAAGCAGAACUAGCUCGGUAUGCGGAAGAAACGGCUGGCGGCGUUGCGGUGGUGGCGGCUGACGCCGAACCUCCCAGAGGCAGAGGCCCCAUUGUAGCUCCAGUGGAAGACGUGGCGGGUUGGUGGCGUCCAGAGGAUGGAUACGAAGGUGCAGUGGCGGAUGCUGGUGUUGCACAAGCGGUGGGCCGGAUCGUAUCAGCGGUGUCUCUGACUGCCACCCGAGCAGGAGGAUACGCAGCAUCAGCCACUAACGGGUAGGCUACGCAACAUAGCGGCGUUAGCUGUGAUGAAGCAGAUGCUGCGGUCACAAGGGCUCGAGUUCGUGUAGUUCGUCGGGCCGUUGCUGGUGGGUCUCGAUUACCCAAGUCUAUACCGUUAGGAAGAGUGGAGACGGAGAUACUGGUACUAUGGUUGAGGACCUCGUUCGACGGUCACUUACAGCUAAGUCAGGGGCUGCGGCUGCUCAAGUAGUGUAUGUUCCGUUAGUGUUAGCCUCCACUACUUCCUUGUCACCGGACCCAACUAGAGAGCGUAUACUAGUAGAAGACGUUGCACGACCUGUUUGCGGGGUUCGGAGUAAAGAAUUCUGACGGAUCGUUACGUUGAGCUAGCGGGCGACAAGCCCUGCAAAGUCAGGAAUUACCGAAGUAGUUCUACCAGCUCGACCUCGUGGCACGAUAACCAACCUUCCGGUGUUAUACCUCGUAGUUCUGACCGUAGAAGAGGUUUCGCGUAACCUCACAGCUAACGGUCAAGCUAAGGAGACGAUAUGGACUUGGCGGCGACGGAUUCGACUUCCAGGCACUUCCACAGUGUCGGAUGGAACAGCUGAGAGGUAUAACCGGACGGGUUCGACUCGGACGUUCUACUAACGUAAGAAAUGAAUGAUCGAUUCUAACUGAUGGCGCUGUCCGUCGUGUGUAGUACCCACGAACGACAACUGUACUUCUUGUUGUGACAGGUCUCUCACCGACUCAAAUCGGGGUUCUCCCGAUAACCAAAUCGGUCCCCGAUGCUAAGUUCAUGCUAGAGGUUUAUAGAGUUUCAACCAGGUCCCUUUCCGCACGUUCUUCGACUCGUCACUGGCCUCUACUGCGGUACCACUAAUUGUUCACCUUCCUCAAACGUAAACUCGACUUGACCUCAUAUACUGGACUUUUAUUACGUACACGUAACUACCUCCCACAGAGUCCUGAUAGGAAGCAAACAGACAAAGAUCUGGAAAAAAUAAUUAUACAUAGGUAGAGCAGAUAUAACGGAGUUGUGGCUGAGAACAGCGAAAUAAAUAAUACACUAGACGUUGUUCUAUUAUACUUGAUAUAAUAUAGUCAACAUGAUGGGAAACAAAACUGACGAACGACGAAAGAAAACAACCGUAGCAUCGAAGAAACUCAUUGGUGCAGAGAGCAAUACGAACUGGGCUUUGAUGUGAACCCACCAUCACUUCUAAAAUAAUCUUUAAACCGUCUGUCCACUCGCUCGAUACAACCUC
rnacentral:rRNA from 1 species